AAACUUAAAUGAAUUGACGGGGCCCGCACAAGCGGAGGAACAUGUGGUUUAAUUUCGGCGCAACGCGAAGAACCUUACCUGGAUUUGACAUCCCGGGGAUCUUUCUGAAAGGAUUGAGUGCCCUUCGGGGAGCCCGGUGACAGGUGCUGCAUGGCUGUCGUCAGCUCGUGUCGUGGGAUGUUGGGUUAAGUCCCGCAACGAGCGCAACCCUUAUCUUUAGUUACCAUCAUUAAGUUGGGGACUCUAAAGAUACUGCCCCGGUUAACGGGAGGAAGGUGGGGAUGACGUCAAGUCCUCAUGGCCUUUAUGUCCAGGGCUACACACGUGCUACAAUGGGUUGUACAAAGGGUUGCGAACUCGCGAGAGUAAGCCAAUCCCAAAAAGCAACUCUUAGUUCGGAUUGGAGUCUGCAACUCGACUCCAUGAAGCUGGAAUCGCUAGUAAUCGUGGAUCAGCAUGCCACGGUGAAUACGUUCCCGGGCCUU
rnacentral:rRNA from 1 species